UAUUCGUAUACACUAUACACUAAACAUAAACAUUGGCAUUGCGAUCUUCACUGUGAUCGUUUGAGGCAAGCAAAGUAGCAAGUUAAAUACCUACAAGGUCUGGAGCGCCGACAUAGGCAUGGAACCACCACCAUUCCUUCGAGAAAAGUUUCCACCUCGUCCAAAACUGAAGCAAUCCACGAAUGCUCUAAAUGAGGGAUAUAAAACUGUCUAUCAGUUAGAAAUCUCAGAAAUGCCAGCCAGAUUGAGAUAUGGAGUGGAUGCAGUCAACUAUCAGCCACCAGAGUUAAUGAAACACUCACCAUAUGCUACCAAAUACGCCUGGGCCACCGAGGGCUUCAUGCGCGACACAUUUCCUUCCUUCAGACAUCAUGACGUGCCACCUGUCCCGAGUCGCAGUGACUCGGAAGCAAAAAAUACCUGAUAAUCUCGUCUACUGAAAUGAAUAUUACUUACUGUAAACGCGUCACGAUGUGUAUUAUUUUAAUUUAUACUUGCUUGUGUGUUGCGACAAUUUAGGUCCUUACAAUUUAACAUAUAGCUAUUAUUACUGUUCAUAUUGCUUCGUAGAGUUUUUCAAACAAAAGAUUACGUCGUAAAGUAAUAAAAGAGGUUAAUUUUAUUACA
rnacentral:misc_RNA from 1 species